ensembl:snRNA U6 U6 spliceosomal RNA
CUGCUUGGUUCAGCAGCACAUACACAAAAAAAACUGGAAUGAUACAGAGAUUAGCAUGGCGCCUGAGCAAGGAUAACACGCAAAUUCAUGAAGUAUGCCAUUAUUUU